GGACUACUGGGGUAUCUAAUCCUGUUUGCUCCCCUAGCUUUCGUGCCUCAGCGUCAGAAGUUGUCCAGGGACUCGCCUUCGCCACUGGUGUUCCUCUUGAUAUCUACGCAUUUCACUGCUACACCAAGAAUUCCAGUCCCCCCUCCAACUCUCAAGCCGAAUAGUAUCCAAUGCAGUUUCACAGUUAAGCUGUGAGAUUUCACAUCAGACUUACCCGACCGCCUACGCACCCUUUACGCCCAGUGAAUCCGAACAACGCUUGGGACCUCUGUAUUACCGCGGCGGCUGGCAC
rnacentral:rRNA from 2 species